rnacentral:rRNA from 1 species
GACGAACGCUGGCGGCGUGCUUAACACAUGCAAGUCGAACGGUGACCCUCGGAGCUUGCUUCGGGGUGAACAGUGGCGAACGGGUGAGUAACACGUGAGUAACCUGCCCCUGACUCUGGAAUAAGCGCUGGAAACGGCGUCUAAUACCGGAUAUGACACGAACGGGCAUCCGUAUCGUGUGGAAAGUUUUUCGGUCUGGGAUGGACUCGCGGCCUAUCAGCUUGUUGGUGAGGUAAUGACUCACCAAGGCGAUGACGGGUAGCCGGCCUGAGAGGGCGACCGGCCACACUGGGACUGAGACACGGCCCAGACUCCUACGGGAGGCAGCAGUGGGGAAUAUUGCACAAUGGGCGAAAGCCUGAUGCAGCGACGCCGCGUGAGGGAUGACGGCCUUCGGGUUGUAAACCUCUUUCAGCAGGGAAGAAGCGAAAGUGACGGUACCUGCAGAAGAAGCACCGGCUAACUACGUGCCAGCAGCCGCAGUAAUAC